CCUUCCCCACGCUCCAUUCAAGCAAAGCCUAAAGGGAAAGGGAGAAAAGGGCAGCAAAGAAGAAAGGAGAAGGUUCUGGGGCUCGUACGGUUUCCGGCGUUGUCUCCGGCUUCCGGCGAGAGGGAAGUGAUUCCCGUUAUCGGUACUAGUUUCUUUUGUUUUCAGUAGAUCUAAGCUCUGAGAGCUUGGGAUAAUAUUUGGUGUUUGUUUGGAACUCUCUGUUCUUAUGAGUAGAUUGGUACUAAUCUGAACAUUUAUGGAUUGUUGAAUGUUGGAUCCUUAUGAUGUGUUGUUGAUUGAUGAGAUUUUUCUUGAAACUAAUGGAAGAGGAUCACUAUGGAAAGAGUUUAUCCUGAUUUUUACUGUCUUUGGAUUGAUAUUCUGGUUUUGGCUGUGAAUCCAUUACAACGAACCCACCUCUCGACAGCUCCACCGCCUUCUCUCUCCUCCUCCCUCUCCUCUCCCUCUCCCUCUCCCUCUCCCCAACCCCCAUUGAAGCAGGAUUGAGUUGCAUUGUUGCCAUAAAGCCUCGGAUUGGAUUGAGACAUAACCGUCGUGAGAUCGCCGGCGACCUGGGUCAGCAGCGCGCCGCUCCUUGCUAAGAAGGAUAGCUUUCCAGAGCAAAAAUUGUGGAUGAUAACUGGAUUUGGCCUCCCAGGUUGUAGAAGUCGAGUUAGAUACCUAAGCAUAUUAGAUCCAACACAAAUGUGUCACUAUAUAUCAGAGAUACUAGAUGCUGGACUGCUUGGGCCUCUAUUUAUGGACACGGUUAGUUGAGACACUAGGGACUCUGGGAUUUUCCUUUAUGAUUUCGGUGACUGUUGGUGGUAUUGCCUGGCAUGCUGUUGAUAUGGAGCAG